AGGCGUCUCUUUAAGGCCAAGAAUCUGUUCGAAUCCAUUUCCAGGCUUUCUCGCACACUGUGGGUCAUUUCUUUGAUUGACAUCUCUGGCAUCCAAUCGUUUCGCGCAAAGCGUCAACUGUGGGUUCUGAUCGUCUGGGCAUCCAAUCAGAUGCGCCCGACUGCAAGAAGCCUCGUCAUCAAAGUUGAAUUUGAAUGUAGGUUAUGAUGAAGUAUCCGAAAUUCCCCUCCCCUCUGUGUUCGCCGGCGAGGUUAUGGCUUCUGCUUUGUUUAAAUGCUACUCAUCCCGAAUAAUAAAGCACAAGUCACAUCCCGAAUAAUAAAACACAAGUGUGUUGUUAAUGAUUUUAAAAUACGUUUUCUAACAGUAUAAUUUACAGCGACCAACUUGCAGAAGACGCGUUUCCAUUUAAAUAAACGCUAGUAGUUGCAGCUCCUUACAUCGUGUGGUUAGUUUUUUUUUUUCGGUAAUAAAAAAAUCAGAUAUGAACUAAAUAUGGGUUUCUUGUUCUGAAAGAGGUUAUGCAACUAAAACGGCCUGCCUGGUGAAAUUUUAGCUGGUUUGUGUGCCUUUACUCAUUUCGUUUGUCAGAUGAAAAGGCAGUGGUGAAAAGAGCUGUUUUUGCUCGCAGUGCUAAGUUUAGUGCGAAAUUCACGGAAAGGGGAGGGGCUGCAUCUGGCAUGAAAACACCGUUUCCCAAAUGCCACCCUAUCACCGUACGUGCUUUAAAAACAACAUUUCCUCAGUGUGCUUUGACUACCUGUCUAUCCUAUAAUAGUAUAGGUGCCGUGUUUGGGGGUGAUUUAGGGGUCAAUAAGUCUAAGCAGCUGAUGGACAGACAACAUUUGUUAACUACUGAUUGCACGACUUCAUUUGUGAGAGGUAGUAUGGUCGUAUCUACGAAUUUGUUUACGAAAUGUGGAAUUGCAUUGCACAGAAAUGUCUGUAACGAGAAAAGCGGAGGUAGGAGGUGUGUCUUCCCUGUUGAAAUACCGGCUGGGGGUGUGUCCUUUUACGUUUAGAAAUACUUUCCAUUGUUCCACUCUAUUGCCUUGAAAACACACCUCCUCGGAGUCCACUAACCAAUUAAAUACAGCCGACCGCCUCUCAUGCUCCGCCCGCAAAUCUAUAUUAAAGCCUCCUUCAUCACAUGCCGUCGGCAUAAGAAAGCUUCAUUACAAUAGUGAUUAUUGGAGGAUAGAGGCGGAUUAUUUUCGCAUUUUCCUUCGUUCCGAAUUUUAUUGAUACACAAUAUUAAUUAUGGCCGAUACGAAGGUUGACUCCGCGACAGAAAUCUCCGCAAAGGACCUGAAAGAGAAGAAGCUCCUUGAGGAGAAGGAAAAUGGAAAAGAUGCCACUAAUGGAAAGGAGAAUGAAGAAAACGGAGAGCCUGAAAUUGAUGAUGAAGAAGAUGAUGAGGUAGAUGAGGAAGAUGAAGAGGAAGGAGAGGGUGAUGAGGAUGAGGACGAGGAUGAAGAUGACGACGAGCUAGGUGGAGGAACAAAACGAGCUGCUGAAGAGGACGAUGAAGAUGAUGAGGAUGACGUCGACCCCAAGAAGCAGAAGACGGAUGAUGAUGAUUAAAGGAUCGUUUCAUAUUGCUGAGCAGGUGUAGACGCCUCUGCUUUAACCCAACUGUUGGAGCCAGUGGCAUAAAGGACUCAAAUACAUAAAACAUGGUCAUUUUCAAGUUCGUCACCCAUGUCAACCAACUGACCCCCAAUUCAAAAUUUUCUAGAGGACCGACCACAACUUCCGAUUUCCAGCAUUCACAAUGAAAUAAGCAAGACAAGGAUUUGUUUGUAUUUUUAUUUACAUUUUAUAUUUUUGUACAUAUUGUGAAGAGGUCAGCCACUUUAUCGUGAUCUCCUGUGACCAAAACGGUGCUUCUUUAUGAAAUUUUACUUGUUUGACCAUGUCUCAAUAUUUCAACAUUUAAGACAACAUGUAUAAAAUCAACAGCCAUUGAACUCAGAGCAUUCCAGUAAAUUUUAUGUAUGAACUUUAGUUGUACCAUAACUAGUUGUACCAUAAACUAGUUUUUGUAUGGGAGGGCUAGGCCAAAGAAAAAAGGAGUUUUGGUUUCUUUUGACUUUGUUUUGUCUGCAUUAUUUGUUUUACCUUGGCCUGUUUGUUGUAUGUGUGGAGUUUGUUGUUCAACAAUAAACUUAACUUUUAUUUUGUGAGUUA